rnacentral:lncRNA from 1 species
CAGAAACCGGCGGUCCCCCUUUUUCCCCACAGAGCGAACCCAAACAAAAAAAAAAGAAAUUGGCAGUCAGCGGCGUCGCCUUGCAGUCGCGAAACAGGCGACGAACCUCGAAUCCCCUCUUUUUACUGCCUUUGGAAAGGGCCAAACCGGACCGAUUCCGCGCUCGGUGCCGAAACCAAAGGAAAAAAGGGAGAAAGAAAACACACAAGAACACAAGGGAGCCGAUGCGGACAGGGCCGCGAUGCCCCAAAAAAGAAUUCCGG